UGCAACAUAACCUCAAUUCUAUCUUCAUGAGUUCCAGACCAUCUUAAUUUUGUACUUUCUUUGCAGUUAUUAAUUAAUUUUUGAAUAAAGUAAUUAUACUGCACAUCCGAAUGCAAAUAAUUUAAUUAUGACUCCAGCUUGAAGCAAUCAACGAAAAAAAGCAAUACCAAGGAAGAAUUGGAGUUCUUCUAAAAGUACCUAGUGUACAAAACAUUUUAAUGAAUCUCACAUUAUUAUACUACAUGAAUUUACAACAAUAUCCAAAGUUUCCUAAUGUGCCAAAAUAUUUCUCAUUAGAUCUGCCAAUAAGAUCUGACCCAGAAAAGAGGAACGAAUAUUCGUUGAAAUGGCAAAAGUCUUAAUGAUUUCUUGUUUGAUGAUAUGAUAACAAUUUUCAGGACCUGUUAAAAUAAAUUAAAAAGAAGAUGUCUCAAUACCAAUGGAACGUAAAGGCUUACCCUGACAAGGUAUUAUUAUACAUAUUAGACUUUGAUGCUCAUAAUUGGUGUGGCAUAAGCAGAUCUAUUAUGAUAGCAGCAGACUUGACCUUUAGAAUUGGAUUUUAAAUUCAACUAGAAACUACAGCAUUGGUCUCAAUUACGACAAUUUAAUUUCUCAUUAUAAUUCAAGUGCCGAUGUCUCAGAGAAUGUUCAGGAGGAAGAUCAAUUGGGGAGUGACCUUUAUUUAAAAGGCUUACACAAAAAGCAAAUAUGAUGAUAGCCUUAUUUAUGUCAAGUAAUUAAAAAAUAGUUACUGAUCAACUUCCCAUAUUGUGAAAGAACUCAUCCAUUAUCUGAAAGAGACCUACGUAACUAGAGAAAAAAUGAAAACUCUUAGUCUCAGUUUCAAAAUAUCUCUUUAAAUAAUUAGGUAACAUGUUUCUCUAAUAAAGCAUCAUCAUAGGCAAGGCUGGUGGAGUGGUUAACAAUCUGGUGUUUCACCGAGAUCAACUUUAGAGUGUGGGUUCAAAUACUCCUUUUUAUAUUUUUUGUUGAAUUUUUGUGCCAUGUUAUUGUUUUAUUACAAAAUAUGUGGGUAUUCUCAGGUUUAAAUUUUAUUUGUCAGUACUUAGCAGGUCAUCUAGCUAUAAGGUAAUUUUAACUAAUUUUUAAUAUUUGAUUUUGUUUUAGUGUAAGGUUUUAUUUUAGUUACAUAUGUUUUUCUGUUUAUUGUAGGUCUGAUGAUGCUUUAUUAGCGAAACAUGUUACCUGAUUAAUUAAAUAGAUAUUUUGAGACUGA